AGGAAACGAACGAAGCGAUGAGGGAAAACACGACGAACACGAAGGAAAGAGACUGAUACGGACGAUCGGUGACGGCGAGAAAUCACGAAGGCGCGCAGGCCGCUACUCCGGACGUCUUGGUCGAUCGAUCGCGAAGAGGGAGGCGUAUCCGGGGCCGACGAGACCGAAGCAACGAAGUGGACGAAGCAGCGAGCUUGUUUUCGUUCUCGUCCGGUUGCGAGGUGCGAAGGAAAGACGAGGUCCGAAGGGAGUCUGGUCGGCAGCAACACGUCGCAUGUGGGGGCUUCGGUGAGUUUUUCUCGACCGGAGAAGGUAUGGGGUGCGAUGGGGAAAACGAUCAGCAACAACACCGCAGAUGGUUGGGGUUGGCAGUGAAGAAAUUGAUGGCUUUUGCUGUGAAAUAGAUUGGGAAGGAAGGGGUUGAAAGAGGGUUGUUGCCCUCUUGGUUGCUUUUGGCAGUCAAUAGAAGGAGACAAACGGGUAAGGAAAAAGGUGUUUAUGGGUGGUGUUUCUCGAUGGCAUAAGGAAGAACCAAAGGGGAAAAUGGGCUGCUGAUUGAACUCAAUGGCAUAACUCCAAGGAAACGAAGAAGAGAAAGGAUGUGCGGGGGCUACUCCUGACUGACAGCUUCACUUGAGAAGAAGACAUUGUCUUUGUGUAUGUGUUUGGUUUUGUAUAAAAAAAAGAUGUUUACUUUGUGUGUAAAAUUGGAUGGGUUGAAAUGUGGAAGUAAAGUUAUGGUUUUUGGCUGUCAAUUUAGUGUACCUUGAGUCAAUUAUUGUAAACAUUGUUUUGGUUCUAAUGAUUCAUGUAUUUUAGUUAGAGAUUUAA